CGUGCCUUUAUAUUCUACCGGCCCGAUUGUUUGGCGUGGUGCAUGUUAGCUGUCUGAGCUCGGUGGUGCAUCGCAAUUUCACUGUAUCAAGAGCUGUGCCUGAGAGUCUUCGAAGAAGUAGUUGUAUGCGGGCUUGAUGUGAUAUGCUGCGUAUUGAUGACCGUCUGGCGUGGUGUGCGUUAGCUGUGUGAGCCUGGUGGUGUGUCGUGGUACACAGAAACUCCCAGUAGAGGAAUACGAGUAGUACCACUUGCUGAAAACAGACCAGUCCCAGUGAGCAAGUGCUUGAAGGUUACCUCAUCGGCACCAGUCGCUGUUUUGUUAUAUUGUUUUUUUAUUUCUUGUUUUUUUUGUUUGUGCUUUGUUUGUAAUAACUUAUUGUUAUUGUUUUAGUUCUUCCUGUUCUGUCUUUGAGACGGGCAAUUGAGUGACAUGCCUGGUUUUGUCACUGUAUCACGAGCCCUGAAUAAUUUGCUGUGCAAGUGAGAUUGGAAGCCGGUGGAAGAGUAUAUUUUUUUAACUAGUGUGAAUUUUAUUCUGUGAUAUUGUUAACUUUAGUAACAUUGUUGUUUUCUCCAAAGGUGCUGUUGGUGGGAUGCUGUCCAGUGUGGGGUUGUGAUAUUUUGCAGUGGUUGUGUGUUGGUAUUUGACUUCACCAGAGUGCGGUGGUUUUAUUGCACAGAAGGUAGUUUGAUGUGAACCAUUUGUCCAUUUUAUAGUGUUAAACCUUCCACUGGAGUUGCGUGACCACCACAGUGGCCUGGAGACUCUUCACUUUUUUUUUUUUUCUAUUGUCUUAAAUAAACUUUUGUGUUAUUGCCCUCUA